GAUGAACGCUGGCGGCGUGCCUAAUACAUGCAAGUCGAACGAAACUUCUUUAUCACCGAGUGCUUGCACUCACCGAUAAAGAGUUGAGUGGCGAACGGGUGAGUAACACGUGGGCAACCUGCCCAAAAGAGGGGGAUAACACUAGGAAACAGGUGCUAAUACCGCAUAACCAUAGUUACCGCAUGGUAACUAUGUAAAAGGUGGCUAUACUACCGCUUUUGGAUGGGCCCGCGGCGCAUUAGCUAGUUGGUAGGGUAAAGGCUUACCAAGGCAAUGAUGCGUAGCCGAAUUGAGAGGUUGAUCGGCCACAUUGGGACUGAGACACGGCCCAAACUCCUACGGGAGGCAGCAGUAGGGAAUCUUCCACAAAGGGCGAAAGCCUGAUGGAGCAACGCCGCGUGGGUGAAGAAGGUCUUCGGAUCGUAAAACCCUGUUGUUAGAGAAGAAAGUGCGUGAGAGUAACUGUUCACGUUUCGACGGUAUCUAACCAGAAAGCCACGGCUAACUACGUG
rnacentral:rRNA from 1 species